AGGGUUCGAUUCUGGCGUACAGGACGAACGCUGGCGGCGUGCCUAAUACAUGCAAGUCGAACGGCUUUUCUAUGGAAGCUUGCUUCCACUGAGAAGAUAGUGGCGAACGGGUGAGUAACACGUGGGUAACCUGCCCAUAAGAGGGGGAUAACAUCCGGAAACGGGUGCUAAUACCGCAUAGUUUUCUUGAUCGCAUGAUCGGGAAAGGAAAGACGGCCUUUGUGCUGUCGCUUAUGGAUGGACCCGCGGCGUAUUAGUUAGUUGGUGAGGUAACGGCUCACCAAGACGAUGAUACGUAGCCGACCUGAGAGGGUGAUCGGCCACAUUGGGACUGAGACACGGCCCAAACUCCUACGGGAGGCAGCAGCUAAGAAUCUUCCGCAAUGGGCGAAAGCCUGACGGAGCGACGCCGCCGUGAACGAAGAAGGCCAUGAGGUUGUAAAGUUCUUUUCGGGAGGGGGAACAACCGUGGCAGGGAAUGGCCGCGGGAUGACGUGAAUCCCGGAAUAAGCCCCGGCUAACUACGUGCCAGCAGCUGC
rnacentral:rRNA from 1 species